AAUUGAGAGUUUGAUCCUGGCUCAGGAUGAACGCUGGCGGUAUGCUUAACACAUGCAAGUCGAACGAGAGGUUUUUAAAGAUUUUUCUUAAAAAACUGAAAGUGGCGGACGGGUGAGUAACACGUGAGAAUCUGCCUUUAGGAAAGGGACAACAUUUGGAAACGAAUGCUAAUACCUUAUAUGCCUAUUAUAACUUGUAUAAUUAAUAGGUGAAAAGUUUUCUGCCUAGAGAGGAGCUCGCGGCUGAUUAGCUAGUUGGUGGGGUAAUGGCCUACCAAGGCGACGAUCAGUAACUGAUUUGAGAGGAUGAUCAGUCACACUGGAACUGAGACACGGUCCAGACUGCUACGGGAGGCAGCAGUGGGGAAUUUUCUGCAAUGGGCGAAAGCCUGACAGAGCAAUACCGCGUGAGGGAUGACAGUCCUAUGGAUUGUAAACCUCUUUUUUCAGGGAGGAAGUUCUGACGUUACCUGAAGAAUAAGCAUCGGCUAACUCCGUGCCAGCAGCCGCGGUAAUACGGAGGAUGCAAGUGUUAUCCGGAAUCACUGGGCGUAAAGCGUCUGUAGGUGGUUUAAUGUGUCUGUUGUUAAAUCUUAAGGCUCAACCUUAAACCAGCAAUGGAAACUAUUAUGACUUGAGUGUGGUAGAGGUAGAGGGAAUUUCCAGUGGAGCGGUGAAAUGCGUAGAUAUUGGAAAGACCACCAAUGGCGAAGGCACUCUACUGGGCCAUUACUGACACUGAGAGACGAAAGCUAGGGGAGCAAAUGGGAUUAGAUACCCCAGUAGUCCUAGCUGUAAACGAUGGAUACUAGAUGUCGCAUGUAUCGACCCAUGCGGUAUUAUAGCUAACGCGUUAAGUAUCCCGCCUGGGAAGUAUGCUCGCAAGAGUGAAACUCAAAGGAAUUGACGGGGGCCCGCACAAGCGGUGGAGCAUGUGGUUUAAUUCGACGCAACGCGCAGAACCUUACCAGCGUUUGACAUCCUUAUCGCGGAUUUGAGAGAUCAUUUCCUUCAGCUCGGCUGGAUAAGUGACAGGUGCUGCAUGGCUGUCGUCAGCUCGUGCCGUGAG
rnacentral:rRNA from 1 species